rnacentral:rRNA from 1 species
UUUUUUAUGGAGAGUUUGAUCCUGGCUCAGGAUGAACGCUGGCGGCGUGCCUAAUACAUGCAAGUCGAGCGAACAGACGA